ACAGAGGAAAGGCCAUGAGGAUACAGUGAGAAGGUGGCCACCUGCAAACCAGGAAGAGAGGCUCCACAGAAACGAAGUCUGCUGACAUCUUGUUCUCAGACUUCCAGCUUCCAGAACUCUGAGACGCACAUGAGGACACAGGAAGAAGGUGGAUAUCUGCAAGGUCGGAAGACAGCCCUCACCAGGACUGGAAUCCACUGGCACCUUGAUUUUGUGCUUGGCAGCUGGGGCUUUGAGCCAUGCUGUACCUUCGACCUCUGGAGGAAUUAGAGACUAAAAGCAUUAGUCUGAGCCCCUGGAAUGGAUGAAAACAGAGUCAGCCCUGUGGACAAUAUGUGAUCAAGCUCCACUAAAAACUCCAGAUGCCAAAAGCGCAGGAAAUACCUCGGAGUCCUGAAUACAUUCUCCUGGCAAUGCUGUCUGCUUGCCUGUGCCUCCCCCAUUCGAGCUCUAACUAAUCAUACUUACUGGGCUUACAUAUCCAACACCCCUCUACUACAGGUGGUCGAAUGGACAGAGAGAGGACCAACUGUUUCAACCAAUGACUCUAUACAUAUGCCUUCUCCCUGGAGCAUUAAAGGGCCCUCACACCCUGAAGAUGAAGGAAAACUAAUUAAUAUUUCUCUAGGUUAUGAAGUCCUUCCUUUGUGCAUGGGCCCAGCAGAAUUUAUGCUUAAACGUUAGCCGACAAACUUGGGCUUUCGCCCUGCCUCCCAAAAAGGACUUUCGGAUGUUGAUUGGAUUAUUUACUGCCCUUUCUUUGUCUGUGAACCAUGUUUAUACUACUGAGACUUUAGGGAAAGAAUUAGGGAAAGAACAAAGAACAUUAUGCAAAGGGUUUACUUAUAAGAACUUUAUAUAUACUCCUGUUCGUUGGGAUAAAUGUCAAGCCAAAUCAGGAAAAUUAAUGUUUGUGGCUAAUCAUACAAUUGUUGACUGGGGACCCCGUGGUAUGUGGUUAUCUAACUGCUCAGAUGAUAUUAACAGCAUUGUGUGUGUGACCAUGCUACUCAAGCGACACGGGAGGUCACUGACACUAGGAUGGAGCAUUACCAUGUCAAAGGACUUCUUGGGUGGCUUGAGGGUGGAUUAGCCCCAACUCUUCCUAGGGUUGUCUUCGAUAAACAGAGUGGGCCUGAACAAUGAGACAUUUGGAAACUUGCUGCGAGCACCAAAAUACUUGGGACUUGGACCGGACUUUUCACAGGGACCAGUCGUAGUCAUAGUUACUAUUUCUUUAGCUAUAAUCAACCAUAUUUUAUACAGGCCUGUGUCCCAUUUCAUUUUGUUAUAGACAUAGGAAAAUUACAAUUUAAUAAGACUUUAUGUUCUGUAACUUGUAUUAAUGGCAAACUAUACACUUGUCUUAACUCCUCUAUUUCUUUAAGAAAUGAUUCCCUUUUGAUUCUUCAAUCUCAAUGUAAUUUGUGGUUACCAAUAAAUCUCCAACGACCCUUGGAAGAAGGUCCCAUGGCUGGACUUGCUUCCAGAUUACUUUUUAAACUGCUCCAAUGAUCUAAACAAUUCGUUGGAUGGCUGAUUCUUGGCAUUUUGGGUUAAUAGCUAUUUGCACCACUGCUGCUGUCGCUGGCGCUGCUUUACAUACCCCGAUUCAAAACAUAAUUUUACCCAAAAUUGGACUGAAGAUGCUCAUAAUAUGUGGGCUACUCAGGCUCAGGUAGAUGAGGAUAUUCAAGACGAAAUACAGGAACUAAAAACAGCCAUCAAAUGGGUUGGAGAUCAAUGAAUAGAUUUGCAAAAACAAGUGAUAUUAAAAUGUGAUUGGAAUUCUACUGAAUUUUGUGUUACUCUUGUUCAUUUCAAUCAUAGUGCCUACAACUGGGAACAAAUCAAAUUUCAUUUACAAAACAUACAUGAUAAUGCCUCUAUGAAUGUACAGUUACUGCAAAAGGAAAUCUUUGAAACCUUUUCUAAACAUUUGCCCUCUUCCACUAAUUUGGAAACUUUAGUUGAACAACUAGCUGAUCAAUUAUCUGGGCUAGACCCACACGGAUGGUUCCAAAGUAUUACCCACACCAUCGGGUCUGGAACUGUAACUUUGGUGUUUGUCUUGGUAACUAUAUUUGUUGUUUAUCAUUGACUUUCUAUAUGGCUGGUUAAUACUAAACAAACUCAAUUGGUCAUGACCUUUUUUACAAAUAUAAUAGGGGAAUUGUAAGGAAGCACUUAACAGGAGGCUUCAAUGUCAGGCCCAUGAAUCAAGGCAAAUUGGAAGUGGUCAAACAAAAGAUGGCAAGAGUGAACGUCGACAUUCUAGGAAUCAGCGAACUAAAAU